rnacentral:misc_RNA from 1 species
CUCAGUAGUCUACUACUGUUAAGGGGGCUGUUAGUCUGUAUAGCUUUACGGCUGAUGAGCAGCAGGCCUUCUUUCCACACCCUUGUCUUUUGCGUACCCAUGUUUCCUCGGCAGGCUUGCCUGCCGACUGGACAAUUUAUAACCUUUUUAAUUUUUAAUCAGCGUCUGAAAAACUUAAUAAUUACAACUUUCAACAACGGAUCUCUUGGCUCU